UUUUCAGCUCCCAGCGGAUGUAAAGAGCGAUUAAUACGAGUUACGAGGGCGUUCAUCGAGAAGCGAUUGUGCCGAGUGGGCGGAGCUUAAACAUUCUUCAGAUAAUCGCAGUGGACAAAUAAAGUUAAAAUUUUGAAGGGAUGAAAGAGAACAAAAAGAUCCAUAUCCAACACGAGAGCUGUCAAGGUUCAGAGAACAAGACUCCGGCAAAGUGCGGAUUAAAGUCAGCCUUUAGCGCUGAUGCUCGCUAUCGAUCCGCUUUAUUUUCCAGAAAACCAGGCUUGAGAAGAAUCAUGACUCUCAUCUCAGAAUUAAUGUCUACACCCUGACAGGAAUGCAAUCUGGGCCUCUAAAAGAAGAUUAGGAGGCGAACACGGCAAUACCAGCCUUUAAAAAAAGGAAAAAAGAGAGAAAAGAG